rnacentral:rRNA from 1 species
GGGAUAUUGCGCAAUGGGGGAAACCCUGACGCAGCGACGCCGCGUGGGUGAAGAAGGCUUUCGGGUCGUAAAGCCCUUUUUGGCAUGACGAGGAUAGGACGGUAGUGCCAGAAUAAGCCUCGGCUAACUACGUUCCAGCAGCCGCGGUAAAACGUAGGAGGCGAGCGUUAUCCGGAGUUACUGGGCGUAAAGGGUGCGUAGGCGGCAGGGCAAGUGAGGAGUGAAAGCCCCUGGCUAAACUAGGGGAGGACAUCUCAGACUGCCCAGCUAGAGUGAAACAGAGGAGCGCGGAAUUCGGGGUGUAGCGGUGAAAUGUGUAGAGAUCCCGAGGAACACCAGUGGUGCAAACGGCGCUCUGGGUUUGAACUGACGCUGAGGCACGAAAGCUUGGGGAGCGAA